UAAUACGAAGGGUGCAAGCGUUAGUCGGAAUUACUGGGCGUAAAGCGUGCGUAGGCGGUUGGUUAAGUCGGAUGUGAAAGCCCUGGGCUCAACCUGGGAAUGGCACUCGAUACUGGCCAGCUGGAGUAAGGUAGAGGAUGGUGGAAUUCCCGGUGUAGCGGUGAAAUGCGUAGAGAUCGGGAGGAACAUCUGUGGCGAAGGCGGCCAUCUGGACCAUUACUGACGCUGAGGCACGAAAGCGUGGGGAGCAAACAGGAUUAGAUACCCUGGUAGUCCACGCCCUAAACGAUGCGGACUGGACGUUGGGCGCAAUUUGGCGCUCAGUGUCGAAGCUAACGCGUUAAGUCCGCCGCCUGGGGAGUACGCUCGCAAGAGUG
rnacentral:rRNA from 1 species